UACGUAGGGUGCAAGCGUUGUCCGGAAUUAUUGGGCGUAAUGAGCUCGUAGGCGGUUUGUUGCGUCGGCUGUGAAAUCCCGAGGCUCAACCUCGGGUCUGCAGUCGAUACGAGCAAACUAGAGUGUUGCAGGGGAGACUGGAAUUCCUGGUGUAGCGGUGAAAUGCGCAGAUAUCAGGAGGAACACCGGUGGCGAAGGCGGGUCUCUGGGCAACAACUGACGCUGAGGAGCGAAAGCGUGGGGAGCGAACAGG
rnacentral:rRNA from 1 species